rnacentral:rRNA from 1 species
UCCGUAGGUGAACCUGCGGAAGGAUCAUUACCGAGUUGAUUCGGGCUCCGGCCCGAUCCUCCCACCCUUUGUGUACCUACCUCUGUUGCUUUGGCGGGCCGCGGUUCUCCGCGGCCACCCCCCUCCCCGGGGGGUGGCCAGCGCCCGCCAGAGGACCAUCAAACUCCAGUCAGUAAACGAUGCAGUCUGAAAAACAUUUAAUAAACUAAAACUUUCAACAACGGAUCUCUUGGUUCUGGCAUCGAUGAAGAACGCAGCGAAAUGCGAUAAGUAAUGUGAAUUGCAGAAUUCAGUGAAUCAUCGAAUCUUUGAACGCACAUUGCGCCCUUUGGUAUUCCGAAGGGCAUGCCUGUUCGAGCGUCAUUACAACCCUCAAGCUCUGCUUGGUAUUGGGCACCGUCCUUUGCGGGCGCGCCUCAAAGACCUCGGCGGUGGCGUCUUGCCUCAAGCGUAGUAGAACAUACAUCUCGCUUCGGAGCGCAGGGCGUCGCCCGCCGGACGAACCUUCUGAACUUUUCUCAAGGUUGACCUCGGAUCAGGUAGGGAUACCCGCUGAACUUAAGCAUAUCAAUAAGCGGAGGA